UGCAUGGCUGUCGUCAGCUCGUGUCGUGAGAUGUUCGGUUAAGUCCGCUAACGAGCGCAACCCUCACUGUGUGUUAUAUGUGUCACACGGGACUGCCGGUUUUAAGCCGGAGGAAGGUGGGGAUGACGUCAAGUCAGCAUGGCCUUUAUAUCCUGGGCUACACACACGCUACAAUGGUCGGUACAAUAGGUUGCCAAGCCGCGAGGCGGAGCCAAUCCAAAAAAGCCGGCCUCAGUUCAGAUUGUAGGCUGCAACUCGCCUGCAUGAAGAUGGAGUUGCUAGUAACCGCAGGUCAGCAAUACUGCGGUGAAUACGUUCCCGGGUCUU
rnacentral:rRNA from 1 species